GGGCCAGUAGGUUGGUCGUGCCACCGGUACGUACUGGUCUCACUGAUUCCUCCUUCCUGAAGAACCGUAAUGCCAUUAAUUUGGUGUUGCGGGGAAACAGGACUGUUACUUUGAAAAAAUUAGAGUGUUUAAAGCAAGCUAACGCUUGAAUACAUUAGCAUGGAAUAAUGAAAGAGGACGAUCGAUCCUAUUUUGUUGGUUUCUAGGAUUGACGUA
rnacentral:rRNA from 1 species